rnacentral:rRNA from 1 species
AUGAGCUUACAAAAAAUUAAAUCAAAGGGCUUUAAUUAUGACAAGGAUCACUCUAAUGCACUCUGUAUACAAUGGACUGGUGAUCAGGCGAUACACAUGAUGGAGAACCAGAUUGAAGCACUGCCUCACUGGAAUCUAAAAAAUUUGAGAAUACAAGAUUAUGGAGGUGAAUCUUGUCCUAGCUGGCUCCAUCCUAACCUCCUGCCAAGGUUAAGUUCUCUGGAAUUGAGUUAUUGUAAGAACAUUCAGAGUGUAUCAUUUUUUGGGCCGUACAUUUGUGAUACAGAUCAGGAAGACAACCUUCGCUGUCUUGAAGUUUUGGACAUCAGAGGUUGUCCUCAAAUCAAUUGGCAAAGUUUUGUGGCCUUCACCCCUUCUCUUAGAAAGAUUAUCCUUCAUGACUUCGGGUAUUUCACGGAUCACUUUGUGAGCUGCUUCCACGACCUCACUGUCCUCACCGAAUGGAAAAUGUCGACCAAAUGGUUAACAUCCAUUCCCCUGCAAGUCUGGAGUAGCAAUUUUCCAGCCCUUGAGAAACUGUAUAUUGUUGAUUGUGCCUCUCUUAUGUCAGUUGGGGUCACUGACGCAAGCAGCAGCAGGAGUGUUGGAGCAUUCUCAUCCCUUAUUGUUCUAUAUAUUAGCGGCUGCAGGAAAUUGUUGAGCCUUGAUGAAUUCCUAACACCUGCUUAUCUACCUGCUGCAAAGGAAAUUUGGGUGACAUGGUGUAAUGAAUUGACGUCCCUGCCAGUUGAUAGGAUCCACCAUUUUACUUCUUUGCAGAGGCUCGUUAUUGCAAAUUGUCCAAAGUUAAAUACACCGAUGGUACUAAGAUUACCAUCCUCCCUUAAGCAUUUCAGUUUGGAGUCAUGUCUGGGCAUAGAGUGCAUCGAUAUUCGCCAGCAAGGGAGUACUCCAGCUCUGGAGGAAUUGAAAUUAACACACUGUUCAACCCUCAGAUCCGUUGGCGGUUCAAUAGCAGUUGCUCAAGUAGAGUCUGUGUAUAUUCUUCAUUGCCCAGAGCUGGUAGAUGUAAGACAGCCUCUUCGACAAGGAAACUGGUAUGUAUUAUGUCACCAGAGUAUGGUUGCAUUAUGCAUUAGCAUUUUUUUUCCUCUCAAAGUAUAUACGUGGCCAGCUAUAUGUUGA